rnacentral:rRNA from 1 species
AGCAGGUCAUAGUGAUCCGGUGGUUCUGAAUGGAAGGGCCAUCGCUCAACGGAUAAAAGGUACUCCGGGGAUAACAGGCUGAUACCGCCCAAGAGUUCAUAUCGACGGCGGUGUUUGGCACCUCGAUGUCGGCUCAUCACAUCCUGGGGCUGAAGUAGGUCCCAAGGGUAUGGCUGUUCGCCAUUUAAAGUGGUACGCGAGCUGGGUUUAGAACGUCGUGAGACAGUUCGGUCCCUAUCUGCCGUGGGCGCUGGAGAAUUGAGGGGGGCUGCUCCUAGUACGAGAGGACCGGAGUGGACGCAUCACUGGUGUUCGGGUUGUCAUGCCAAUGGCACUGCCCGGUAGCUAAAUGCGGAAGAGAUAAGUGCUGAAAGCAUCUAAGCACGAAACUUGCCCCGAGAUGAGUUCUCCCUGAGACUU